rnacentral:lncRNA from 1 species
ACAACAGGUGCUCUGGAUGGGUAAGCAGAUCCUGCUCUACAAAUGACAUUUAUUAACAAUGUUUGUUCAUGUAGUAUCCAUGGCCAGGUCUUCUACUUUCUGGAACAUUUAGCUUUUGGAUCAAUCACUAAUGGGGUGGAUGUUAACACAGCAAUAUUACUAUAUCCUUAUUCUAGAUUUUUGUUGCAGUCAACAAAAACUUUUUUAAUGUUCAUAAAUAGCUUCACUGAGUUAUCUUGGUUUUAUUGCAACACAGUCAAUCAUUUAUCCAUUAUAUUUAAAAAAAAAAAAAAUAAGAAUCUGCAGCACAGCUAUACAUGUACAUUGUAGGUUCUGUUUUCUAAUUAUUAAAUGAUUCAUUGUAAAUAUUACAAUAUAUGAUAUGUACAUGUAGAUAGCCUUUCGCUAAUGAUGGUAUUUUUGUUAAUUGAAUUUCACAACAUCUGGAUAGUUUUUCAACUGUUAGUCUUUUUUUACUUUGUUCUGGAUUUAAUACUUUGAAUACCACUGGUUUAAGCAAUGAGAAAAUUUUGCACCACACAUAUAGAACACAACUACCAUAUGAAUGUGUUGGUCCUUAGUAAGAAGCAUGUAAAACAGGGCUUGUAAUUUUUUGGUGUAUAUCUUGAUUUUCCGUUUGUACAUUGAUGUGGCCAUUAGUUUUCUUGUAUGUAUUGUUUAACAUUUGUCAUUUAAAUUUCAUGGCUAUUUCUUACUGAUGUAUGUAUAGUUUUUUUGAUUGUAAAAGUGUUGUAUGGUAAGCUUUAUUUCUUUUUUGUCAUUUUGUAUAGGGCUGGUGUCUGAUUACCAGAUUACCAAUCAUACCACCCUUUUCAUUUCUUUUUUUUAUGCAUUAUGACAACAGUUUGGUGUUAAUUUUCAUUUAUGUAUGUACAGUAACUACUGUACAUGUAACAAUAUAAAACAGUAUAUAUACAUGUAUAAUCUCAUUCCAUCAUUAAUAUUGGUCAUUGUUGGUAUAAAUUUAUCUUUAAGUUUAACAAUGUACUGUGAAAGAGCUAUCUUCUAACAGAUACUUAGUAUAUAGUAUGGUUAUUAGUGUGAAACCACUGAUUCAAAGGACAAGUUUCACUUCUUGUCCAAAAUGGCCUAAAAUAUAAAGUUAAACAUAAAGCUCCAAAAAGUUCACAAUUUGGUUUCUCAAAUGGGUCUAUUUCUAAAGUCAUAACGCUCAAUAAAUCAGUUCUUUUCAUAAAGGUACAUUUUAUGUUCCAAAUUUUGUCAAAAUAUGAUGAUUUUGGGCAAUUUUCAGACCCGAAAGCUUUAAGCAAUUAAGAAUUAAGAUUUAGCCACCACCUACCAUCCAAAAUGUUUUGUGACCAAAAGAAUCCAAAUCUGAUAUAUAUAAUUCAUCAAUAUAAAAACUUUUUGGAUCUUGGAUGGCAGCCAAGUUUAAUUAUUCCAACAACAAUUAAAGUUUUACCAUAGUUAUCUGUGGUAUAAUUUUCACAAUUAUUCAAUAGUUUUGUUGUGUAUGAUUUACAAAUAUAAAAAUAAAGAUGGCAAGACCUGAAGAAGGCCGCCUGAUUUUUUUAAGUGACAUAUGAACAACAGAGUCAGUGUGGGGCCACUAAGCUAAACUGCCCGCUUUGCACCAGCCAAUAUAAAUGAAUGCCUAGGGUGGG